UACGAAGGGGGCUAGCGUUGCUCGGAAUCACUGGGCGUAAAGCGCACGUAGGCGGAUUGUUAAGUCAGGGGUGAAAUGCCAAGGCUCAACCUUGGAACUGCCUUUGAUACUGGAGACCUUGAGUCCGGGAGAGGUGAGUGGAAUUGCGAGUGUAGAGGUGAAAUUCGUAGAUAUUCGCAAGAACACCAGUGGCGAAGGCGGCUCACUGGCCCGGAACUGACGCUGAGACGCGAAAGCGUGGGGAGCAAACAGG
rnacentral:rRNA from 1 species